CGUGGGAAUCGCUGGAGCGGCUGCAAGGAUUAAAAGGAAGCCACCAGUGUGAGUAGGAACCCUGCUGUGGUACAUCAUCAAACAUUCACACGAAGCCCAAGAUCACAUUUAGUAGAACUGACACUUGAUGCCAGUGCACCUGUUCAUUUAAAGAGACAACAACUUGAAUAUCAAGUUAUAAAAAAAAUAUACCGGAACAACUUUUAAAACAACAUUAGCUGAUAUUUUAAAUACUGUUGCAGGCUUGAGGGAAUGGGGACCAAUAAAUCCACCUCCCUUGAAAGAACCAGCAAAUAAAAGCUAUUAAUUUGACCACUUUUCCAUUUGUUGACCGUUUGGGACCAGGGCUAUUUUUACAUACAGUUUUUCUCGCCAAUAAAUGGACUUUCUAAAGAUA